rnacentral:rRNA from 1 species
GAUGAAUGCUGGCGGCGUGCCUAACACAUGCAAGUCGAGCGGCAGCGCGGUCUUCGGACUGGCGGCGAGCGGCGGACGGCUGAGUAACGCGUGGGAACGUGCCCCAAAGUGAGGAAUAAGCUCCAGAAAUGGAGUCUAAUGCCGCAUAUGGUCUUCGGAUUAAAGCUUUUAGCGCUUCGGGAGCGGCCCGCGUCGGAUUAGGUUGUUGGUGAGGUAAUGGCUCACCAAGCCGACGAUCCGUAGCUGGUCUGAGAGGAUGAUCAGCCAGACUGGGACUGAGACACGGCCCAGACUCCUACGGGAGGCAGCAGUGAGGAAUCUUCCACAAUGGGGGCAACCCUGAUGGAGCAACGCCGCGUGCAGGACGAAGGCCUUCGGGUCGUAAACUGCUUUUAUGAGUGAAGAAUAUGACGGUAACUCAUGAAUAAGCACCGGCUAACUACGUGCCAGCAGCCGCAGUAA